GUGCUCUCUUCAGCAGCACAUAUACUAAAAGUGGAACGAUACAGAGAAGAUUAGCAUGGCCCCUGAGCAAGGAUGACAUGCAAAUUUGUAAAAUGUUCCAUGUUUUU
rnacentral:snRNA from 1 species